rnacentral:other from 1 species
GUUAUCCGUGGCAUUUUGCCACGGCCUCAUUGAAGC